rnacentral:rRNA from 1 species
UUGGUGAAGUGGAUGAUCCUAUGCUGCCGAGAAAAGCCUCUAGUGAGUGUUGUGGCGGCCCGUACCCUAAACCGACUCAGGUGGUCAGGUAGAGAAUACCAAGGCGAUCGGGUGAACUGUGGUUAAGGAACUCGGCAAAUUGCCCCCGUAACUUCGGGAGAAGGGGGACCUCUGCUGGUGAUGGGCUUUACGUUCUGAGCUGGUGGGGGUCGCAGUGGCCAGGGGGAAGCGACUGUUUACUAAAAACACAGGUCCGUGCGAAGUCGUAAGACGAUGUAUACGGACUGACGCCUGCCCGGUGCCGGAACGUUAAGGGGACCGCUUAGCCAGCUUCGGUUGGCGAAGGUGAGAACUUAAGCGCCGGUAAGCGGCGGUGGUAACUAUAACCAUCCUAAGGUAGCGAAAUUCCUUGUCGGGUAAGUUCCGACCUGCACGAAUGGCGUAACGACUUCCCCGCUGUCUCAACCACAGACCCGGCGAAAUUGCACUACGAGUAAAGAUGCUCGUUUCGCGCAGCAGGACGGAAAGACCCCGGGACCUUCACUACAGCUUGACAUUGGCGUUUGGAACGUCUUGUGUAGGAUAGGUGGGAGACUAGGAAGCUGUCACGCUAGUGAUGGUGGAGUCAUUGGUGAAAUACCACUCUGGUCGUUUUGAACGUCUAACUCUGGUCCGUGAUCCGGAUCGGGGACAGUGUCUGGUGGGUAGUUUAACUGGGGCGGUUGCCUCCUAAAGAGUAACGGAGGCGCCCAAAGGUUCCCUCAGCCUGGUUGGCAAUCAGGUGUUGAGUGUAAGUGCACAAGGGAGCUUGACUGUGAGACUGACAGGUCGAGCAGGAGCGAAAGCUGGGGCUAGUGAUCCGGCAUCGGCGUGUGGAAGCGGUGUCGCUCAACGGCUAAAAGGUACCCCGGGGAUAACAGGCUGAUCUUCCCCAAGAGUCCAUAUCGACGGGAUGGUUUGGCACCUCGAUGUCGGCUCGUCGCAUCCUGGGGCUGGAGUAGUCCCAAGGGUUGGGCUGUUCGCCCAUUAAAGCGGUACGCGAGCUGGGUUUAGAACGUCGCGAGACAGUUCGGUCCCUAUCCGCUGCGCGCGCAGGAGACUUGAAGGGGGCUGUCCCUAGUACGAGAGGACCGGGACGGACGAACCUCUGGUGUGCCAGUUGUACCGCCAGGUGCACGGCUGGUUGGCUACGUUCGGAAGGGAUAACCGCUGAAAGCAUCUAAGCGGGAAGCUCGCCUUGAGAUGAGGUCUCCCACCCCGUGAGGGGUAAGGCUCCCGGUAGAUCACCGGGUUGAUAGGCCGGAGGUGGAAGCACGGUAACGUGUGGAGCUGACCGGUACUAAUAGGCCGAGGACUUGACCAC